rnacentral:lncRNA from 1 species
AUAGGAGGAGCUUAGGUGGAGUAGAUUCGCCGUCAACGUCGCGCCGCGGAGCCGUUCGAGCCUACGUUUGUCGCCGUAGCAUCGCGAGGAGGCCGGGCGAGGGUGUGUUACCGCCGUCCUCGACGUCGCACAGAUACUAGGGUCGCUGUCAAGGUGGGUGUGCCGUCAAAUUGCUUCUUUAUUUCCAAGCUUCUUCAAAUUCGAGCUAGGUGCUGUCCCUGCAGAUUUCCAACGUCGAUCGUUGGCGUUUCGGAUCGUACUCGACGUAGGAGCGUCGGAUUUUGACGAGAUUUGGUUCAUUGGAUUCAGGACUUCGAGAGGAA